rnacentral:rRNA from 1 species
UACGUAGGGGGCUAGCGUUGUCCGGAAUCAUUGGGCGUAAAGAGCGUGUAGGCGGCUCAGUAAGUCCGCUGUGAAAGUCCAGGGCUCAACCCUGGAAUGCCAGUGGAAACUGUCGAGCUAGAGUCCGGAAGAGGCGAGUGGAAUUCCUGGUGUAGCGGUGAAAUGCGCAGAUAUCAGGAGGAACACCAAUGGCGAAGGCAGCUCGCUGGGACGGUACUGACGCUGAGGUGCGAAAGCGUGGGGAGCAAACAGG